GAUAUGAUCAUUUGUAAGUCGCUUUGAAUAAAAGCGUCUGCUAAAUGUAAAUAU
rfam:Danio rerio chromosome 11, GRCz11 reference primary assembly.